AGAUAGCUGAGUUGUAGAAAUGCUGCAAUUAUAAAGUGGAAGUCCCCGGUUCCAUUCCUGCAUCUCC
rnacentral:tRNA from 16 species